AGCGAACGUUUGCGGCGGCCUAACACAUGCAAGUCGAACGCACUAGCAAUAGUGAGUGGCGCACGGGUGCGUAACACGUGGGUAAUCAACCCUUCAGCCUGGGGAUAACGACUCGAAAGGGUCGCUAAUACCGGAUACGGCGCGAGAGGCUUCGGCUUCUCACGAGAAAGCCACGCAAGGGGGCACUGAAGGACGAGCCUGCGGCCCAUCAGCUAGUUGGUGAGGUAAGAGCUCACCAAGGCUAAGACGGGUAGCUGGUCUGAGAGGAUGAUCAGCCACACUGGAACUGAGACACGGUCCAGACUCCUACGGGAGGCAGCAGUGGGGAAUAUUGCGCAAUGGGCGAAAGCCUGACGCAGCCACGCCGCGUGAGCGAUGAAGGCCU
rnacentral:rRNA from 1 species